AAAAAGUGGAGUUCAGAUACCACUAAAAAAACGAGGCGUUACCGAAAAGCCAUAAGAGUAGGAAAACU
rfam:Bacteroidetes bacterium GWA2_30_7 gwa2_scaffold_15305, whole genome shotgun sequence.